GGUGUUGCAUGCCCUGGAACCAGAGUUCAAGAAGGUUGUAAGCUGGAAUCAAACCAAGGUCCUUUGGAAGAGCAGAUGGCGCUCUUGUCUCCUGAGCCACUUCUCCAGGAUCCGCUAUCAUUUGAUCACUCACUCUGUUGAGACUUUGUUCUCUCUGAACGGGAAGCUCACUGACUUGGCAAGACUAGCUGUCCUGCUAGCUCCUGUUGUGCUCCUGUCUCUGCCUCCCCAGUUCUAAGAUUAUAGAGUGGACACAAUUCUCAUCACGCUGGAGAAGCUGGGCAAGAAAUUCGUUGGGGAAAUGGAAAAACAGCAUCGAAAAGACAUCCAGCUUUAACUCCAUAAAAGAAUCACUGACAUAAGAGUCAAAGUCCCAGGGAUGCAGGAGUCUGUACAUUUUCCUCACAGAUUCAUCUAGAACAUUGAUUUUCACUUAACAAUGCAGUGAUGUCAUGGAUGCUAUAGGUCCCAGCUCCCAGCCUGGCCUCAGAAAAUUCUCCAUCAAGAAAACUGCAGUUUGUGCCGUUUCACAUUAAAACAAAUCCCAGACUCAGCUCUGUAGCUGGCGAGGGUAUGGGUGGCAUCCUUGCCACACUAAGCCUCAUCUGAGCCUGUGGGGAGGACUGACCACCCCAUCCUCCUGCUGCCCUGGCCCGAGUUGCCUACCGACAGACCUUCAUUGACAUAAUGGAUUGAAACUCGGCUGACACGGGAGCCAGGGUAACCUUUUCCUCUGCUAAGCAGCUCCUCCCAGACACUUGUCCGAAAGGCCACAAACCCCAGGAACUGUGGUUUUCAGUUUUUGGCUUUGGUUGCCAUGGCUCCGAUGCUCCAGACAGUUCUGGUUAUUUCCAGUGUUUCAGUACCUGAAUCAGCAUGGACCAAGUGAGCCCCCUGAUUCCUUCAGCUGCAGCAGGCUUCA